UGGGGAAUAUUGGACAAUGGGCGAAAGCCUGAUCCAGCCAUGCCGCGUGAGUGAUGAAGGCCUUAGGGUUGUAAAGCUCUUUUGUCAGGGAAGAUAAUGACGGUACCUGAAGAAUAAGCACCGGCUAACUUCGUGCCAGCAGCCGCGGUAAUACGAAGGGUGCUAGCGUUGUUCGGAAUUACUGGGCGUAAAGCGCGCGUAGGCGGCCAAUCAAGUCAGAGGUGAAAGCCCUGGGCUCAACCCAGGAAUUGCCUUUGAAACUGUUUGGCUGGAGUAUUGGAGGGGAGUGCGGAAUUGCUAAUGUAGAGGUGAAAUUCGUAGAUAUUAGCAGGAACACCGGUGGCGAAGGCGGCACUCUGGACAAUAACUGACGCUGAGGCGCGAAAGCGUGGGGAUCAAA
rnacentral:rRNA from 1 species